AACGCUUUGUGGUUCAACUGAUUUGAAGAGCUUGCUCAGAUAUGACGAUGGACAUUGCAAAGAGUGGCGAACGGGUGAGUAACACGUGGGAAACCUACCUCUUAGCAGGGGAUAACAUUUGGAAACAGAUGCUAAUACCGUAUAACAAUGACAACCGCAUGGUUGUUAUUUAAAAGAUGGUUCUGCUAUCACUAAGAGAUGGUCCCGCGGUGCAUUAGCUAGUUGGUAAGGUAAUGGCUUACCAAGGCGAUGAUGCAUAGCCGAGUUGAGAGACUGAUCGGCCACAAUGGGACUGAGACACGGCCCAUACUCCUACGGGAGGCAGCAGUAGGGAAUCUUCCACAAUGGGCGAAAGCCUGAUGGAGCAACGCCGCGUGUGUGAUGAAGGGUUUCGGCUCGUAAAACACUGUUGUAAGAGAAGAAUGACAUUGAGAGUAACUGUUCAAUGUGUGACGAUAUCUUACCAGAAAGGAACGGCUAAAUACGUGCCAGCAGCCGCGGUAAUACGUAUGUUCCAAGCGUUAUCCGGAUUUAUUGGGCGUAAAGCGAGCGCAGACGGUUAUUUAAGUCUGAAGUGAAAGCCCUCAGCUCAACUGAGGAAUUGCUUUGGAAACUGGAUGACUUGAGUGCAGUAGAGGAAAGUGGAACUCCAUGUGUAGCGGUGAAAUGCGUAGAUAUAUGGAAGAACACCAGUGGCGAAAGCGGCUUUCUGGACUGUAACUGACGUUGAGGCUCGAAAGUGUGGGUAGCAAACAGGAUUAGAUACCCUGGUAGUCCACACCGUA
rnacentral:rRNA from 1 species